AUUGAACGCUGGCGGCAUGCUUUACACAUGCGAGUCGAACGGUAACAGGCCUUCGGGUGCUGACGAGUGGCGCACGGGUGAGUAAUGCAUCGGAACGUGCCCAGAGGUGGGGGAUAACGCAGCGAAAGCUGUGCUAAUACCGCAUGUGAUCUGAGGAUGAAAGCGGGGGACCCGGCAGCAAUGUUUGGCCUCGCGCCUUUGGAGCGGCCGAUGUCAGAUUAGGUAGUUGGUGGGGUAAAGGCCUACCAAGCCGACGAUCUGUAGCUGGUCUGAGAGGACGACCAGCCACACUGGGACUGAGACACGGCCCAGACUCCUACGGGAGGCAGCAGUGGGGAAUUUUGGACAAUGGGCGCAAGCCUGAUCCAGCAAUGCCGCGUGCGGGAAGAAGGCCUUCGGGUUGUAAACCGCUUUUGUACGGAACGAAAAGGCUCUGGCUAAUACCUGGGGCUGAUGACGGUACCGUAAGAAUAAGCACCGGCUAACUACGUG
rnacentral:rRNA from 1 species